GUCUACGGCCAUGCUACCCUGAACAAGCCCGAUCCCGUCUGAUCUCGGAAGCUAAGCAGGGUCAGGCCUGGUUAGUACUUGGAUGGGAGAUCACCUAGGAAGACCAGGUGCUGUAGGCA
rnacentral:rRNA from 1 species